rnacentral:lncRNA from 1 species
AGAGUUUGAGAAGCCUGAGAGCAAACCUCCAGCAUCCAGAUUAUCCUUCAAAGAUGGCAAAGGAAAGAAAAGCUCUAAAAUCACCCAAUGCAUUGGAACUAGUUCUAAAAUAUCUACACCUUAAUGAAACCAAUUAUUCUGGCUGACCUGGGAGACAGGGAGAGUGGUAGCCUACAGAAGUGUCUAAUGAAGUCAGCCACCAGUCCCUAAGAGAAGCUGGAGCAACAGGAAGUGUUCCCCCCACCCUCUCACCCCCGCCCCCGACUCCUGCACUCGCUCUUUCUCUGUCUUUCCAGGAGGCAUACACCAUUCGAGAACUCCAUAGAGAAGACUCUGCCAUCUUCAGCAGCCCCACCCCUUACAGUCCUCCCCCCAUUGGAGAACACGUACCGCUAACUUGGGCAUCUCCAGCCAGCCGACACGUCAUCAAGAUGGCUUUUGCAGACUUCCCAAGGCUGAGGGAGCCAUGGCCCUCAUUGCUGCGUUAUUGAUGGUGGUCUUAGAGAGAGAUGGAUCAUGUCAUCACUAUCCUCUCACAGCCUCAUCCGUUACAUUGACUUAGCUGUAUGUCCAUCAAGAUACCACAAUAUUCUCCAUAGACACUGGCGGUCUCCACUCACAGUGAAGAAAGUGAAGAUGACCAUCUGAACAGCGGAGAGAUGGUGCUGAUUACUCUGCUUCCCUUCACAUCGCUAGGGUUGCUCUCUGAGGCUCUUCCCAUGUGUUUAUAUCAAAGAUGCCCACUAUGGAUGUGGUGGCUGUUUGGCCUAAACGGCAGCCAGGACUGACCCUGCUGAACUAGCGUGUCGGUGGCGACAGUAUGGAGGGUCGGAUAUUGUUUCAUUGUGUGACGUUGCUGCAGAUCAGAAGGCACAUGCAUGUUUUGAAAAAGUGAGGCUGCUCCUCUAGGCCCGUUACGAGACAGACUUCACACUGAAGAUUCUCAGCUUUUCAAAG